AUUAAAUGAGGGAAGAUUUUGUGAGGGAAUCUGCCCACGAGGAAACAUCGGGAAAGGGAAGAGGACGCAGGGAAAGCCAUGAAGCUGCCAAGUGAGUCAGCCCCCAGGUGAAGAGGAGAGGGAGAUGGACAGAUGCCAGGAGGACACUGGCUCUGAAGGAGAAUUUACCAAGGGGCAAUUUACCAACCAGCUGCAGUAAAGGAAGCAGAGGCCUGAGCAUCUCUCCAGCACAGGCUGUCAGAGGAGCAGAGGAGACAACCUGCAGGAGGCAUUUCCUGCCCGAAGCACCUGCAGACUCUUGUGUUCAGAGUCAGCCCCAGGUUGACCCCUGAAACUCCAUCUCAUUGAGUGCAUCUCCUGGCAGGAGACUUUGGGAAAUCCCACCAAAGUCAUGGGCAUCUGCCUUCUGAGAACGUAGGCCUGUGGGCCUGGGAAGGCCGAGGGCCUUGGGGAGAUAUCCUUUCAGACGCAUUUCCCUAUUUUUUUUUAGUGUAUAACAAGGGUCCCCAACUCCGGGAUCUAAGGCCUGAUGAUCUGAGGUGGAGCUGAUGUAAUAAUAACAGAAAUAAAGUGCACAAUAACGGUAAUGUGCUUGAAUCA
rnacentral:lncRNA from 1 species